CAAAUUUUACGUCUAUUUAUAAUACAAGAGGAGAGACACUACGUCUAUUUAUAAUUUUGUAAAACCAUAUUCUAAUCAAAGUCAAAUAAAAAUAAUGUAGUAAAGUUAAAACACUUUAUUCUAAUCAACACCAAAUAGAGGAAACAUAUUUCUAUACGAAUUUUACUUGUGCAGCCUGUACCGUUUUGCAGGGGCCUCCGACGCUCGUAGAUCCCCU
rnacentral:lncRNA from 1 species